rnacentral:rRNA from 1 species
UACGAAGGACCCGAGCGUUAUCCGGAUUCAUUGGGUUUAAAGGGUGCGUAGGCGGGCCUGUAAGUCAGUGGUGAAAGCCCCUCGCUCAACGAGGGAAUUGCCAUUGAUACUGCAGGUCUUGAGUACAGUUGAGGUUGGCGGAAUGUGUCAUGUAGCGGUGAAAUGCUUAGAUAUGACCCAGAACACCGAUUGCGAAGGCAGCUAGCUAAACUGUAACUGACGCUGAGGCACGAAAGCGUGGGGAUCAAACAGG